GUCUUCGUGGUGUAGUGGUCAGCACGCUCGACGCGCAUUCGAGAGGUCCUGGGUUCCAGUCCCGGGGAGGGCA
rnacentral:tRNA from 1 species